UACGGAGGAUGCGAGCGUUAUCCGGAUUUAUUGGGUUUAAAGGGUGCGCAGGCGGGUUAUUAAGUCAGCGGUGAAAUCUCCAGGCUCAACCUGGGAACUGCCGUUGAAACUGGUAAUCUUGAGUAUAGAUGAAGUAGGCGGAAUUCGUUGUGUAGCGGUGACAUGCUUAGAUAUAACGAGGAACUCCAAUUGCGUAGGCAGCUUACUAAACUAUAACUGACGCUCAUGCACGAAAGCGUGGGGAUCAAAC
rnacentral:rRNA from 1 species